rnacentral:lncRNA from 1 species
CUGGUUUCCAUUAAAUCGUAAUUAUCGCAAGAACCGCAUCGCAAGCGUCGCAACGAUUUUAAAAACGCGAAAAUUUUAAUAAAAACUGCGAUUUAUUGGAAACUUGAGUCACACCGAUCACUAAGACUCUUACGACAAAGUCGCAAAGAUAGACUUAUUGCGAUUUUUGCGAUAGCGAUGUCUGCGUUCCGCGACUAUUGCGAUGAUUACGAUUUAAUGGAAAC